UGGGAAACCUUUCUGUUAGGUUGUACAGC
rnacentral:piRNA from 1 species